UACGGAGGGUGCGAGCGUUGUCCGGAAUCACUGGGCGUAAAGGGCGCGUAGGCGGCUCCGGCAGUCUGUGGUGAAAGCCCCGGGCUCAACCUGGGAAUGGCCGUUGAAACUGGCGAACUGGAGUGUGGCAGAGGGGGGUGGAAUUCCGCGUGUAGCAGUGAAAUGCGUAGAGAUGCGGAGGAACACCGAUGGCGAAGGCAGCCCCCUGGGCUGACACUGACGCUCAGGCACGAAAGCGUGGGGAGCAAACAGG
rnacentral:rRNA from 1 species